rnacentral:rRNA from 1 species
UACGUAGGGUGCAAGCGUUGUCCGGAAUUAUUGGGCGUAAAGAGCUCGUAGGCGGUCUGUCGCGUCUGCUGUGAAAUCCCGCGGCUCAACCGCGGGUCUGCAGUCGAUACGGGCAGGCUAGAGUUCGGUAGGGGAGACUGGAAUUCCUGGUGUAGCGGUGAAAUGCGCAGAUAUCAGGAGGAACACCGAUGGCGAAGGCAGGUCUCUGGGCCGAUACUGACGUGAGGAGCGAAAGCGUGGGGAGCGAACAGG